CAGGGAAACAGGGUCCAGAGCCUCCAGUAUUCGUCUCCCUAUGCCACUCUGGGCACUGAGACCCGUUUCCAUGACUAUCAUGAUUGAAGAGAGGGAGGAGGCCUCCUCUGUUGUGACCUCAGCAGCCACUCAGUCCUUUCCACCCUGCGUCUGCCCAACCCGCUGCUGGAGAGACAGUGACCAACACUCACGGACUGUUUGUUGGGGUCAAAGCAUAUGGCAUGGCUGGUAUCGUGUGAUUUUUCAACCUCGUAUAUGUCAGGCAUGGAAGCACCAAGUCCCCUGAGGCUUCAAACAUACCCCUCCUUGGCCCCAUUGUGUAGAUCCAGCUUACUUUUCAUGGUAAUUCGGAGGAAAUGCAUGUAUUUGCCUGUUGGUUUCCUGGAAUGAAGACACACAAGUGGGUUGCAGCUUCAAGACAGAACUCUGAACUCUUACUGCCUUCCCUUGUGGCCUUAUUCCCACCCCAGACCAGGACCCCUAGUGCAGCAGAGCUUAAGUUAAGGGAAUGGGGAAUGCAGAUUCUGUGGUUGAGUCUCUGGGAAGUGAUGGUAAGAAGGGUUAAUCCCACUUCUGCUCACGGUUCUCGCACUUGGAUAGUUUAGUUUUUGGAGACCCAGAACCAUGUACUACUGCCUCAGCGGUUCAGGCCUACACCCCAAAGUGGAAAAAAACCACAAUGGUUUUGCAGAGUGUUGUUCCAGUGUCUUAUCUGAGUCCUAAUGGGUCACUACAUUGUUUCAGGAGGGUGCAUCAUAUAGAAGACAGUAGAGUCUGUGGUCAUGGGCCUGUUGUCAUAUUUCCUUUACUGUAACCGGUCCCUUGGACCAGACAAUAAUUGUGUGUGAUAGGACAUCGAGAGAGUAGGCAUUCGUCAUCCAUGCAUGCCUUGUAUGUGGGAGGCAUUGUGGAGAGGGAGGGCAAACCCUACCUAAACUGGAAAGGACACUGCUGUUUUAUCUAGGGUAGAAAGUGAUAUGAAUGUAAUACCUGUGGAACAGCCCCAUAUGAACAUCGCUGUUUCAGCUUUUGUUAUUGGAAGGUUGGACGUUCAAGGGUAGUAUUACUAUGCUGACCAUUGUGAGGGGAAAUUCAUGAUAUUUGGUCCUCCUUUACCUUGGUAACAUGGAUGGAGCCAAUGGACUAGUCAAAUAUCUUAGGCCUAUUGCACCAGCACUGUAGUGACCAAAAGAGAGGCUGGCUCAUAUUCAUCAGACAAAUCACCCUUUCCACCAGUUGGUGAGAGCUUUAUCUGGUACUAUCUGAAUAGUGUCUACACCCAUAGAUGUACCACAUGUCUCUUUCCCAGGCCUCCUGAUUUCCAGUCUUCAGAUCUUAUAACUGUCAGGACCCUGAACAAACAAACCAUUUUUUUUCCACUACGCAGGACUCAAUACACACCUGUACUUUAGGCCACUCCAAAUAGACUGAAAAAAUAAAUAUUCUGCUCAGAGCUACAUCUACAGGGAGACUUUUCUUAUAUCACUCUCCUUUAGAAAUGCAGGCUAUUUUAUUUUAGUGCCAAUAUAUUAUACUGACACAUCUAUGAAUUAGGCCUCCAGUUCUUUCUUCUUCUGUUAAUUGGUGUGAAGGAAUCCAUCAUGAGGUAAUAAGAGUGAGUUGAGAAAGCGGUGUGAGCGCAGUAGAGUUGGGUGCAUGGGACUCUGACUUACCUGUUGGUGUAAUUUACUGACACUGUCUGGACUGAGGUUCAAUCCUGAAUUUAUCAUUUCCAUCACACAGUGGUUGCCACUGUGCUUGUCCGAACUCAUGAUUCAGGGAACCUGAGCAGUUGCAAUUGCAUAGUUAUUUGGUGUCCCGAAGUCAGGUGCUCAGUGGUAUACCAGGAGCUGUUUCUCAAAAACAA